GCAUUGGUGAUUCAGUGGUAGAAUUCUUGUCUUCCAUGGAGGAGACUCGUGUUUGAUUCACAGCCAGUGCA
rnacentral:tRNA from 1 species